rnacentral:rRNA from 1 species
AUUGAACGCUGGCGGCAGGCCUAACACAUGCAAGUCGAGCGGUAGAGAGGUGCUUGCAUCUCUUGAGAGCGGCGGACGGGUGAGUAAUGCCUAGGAAUCUGCCUAGUGUGGGGGGAUAACGUUCGGAAACGGACGCUAAUACCGCAUACGUCCUACGGGGAGAAAGCGGGGGGUCGCAAGACCUCGCGCGAUUGGAGCGGCCGAUAUCAGAUUAGGUAGUUGGUGAGGUAAAGGCUCACCAAGCCGACGAUCUGUAGCUGGUCUGAGAGGACGACCAGCCACACUGGGACUGAGACACGGCCCAGACUCCUACGGGAGGCAGCAGUGGGGAAUUUUGGACAAUGGGCGCAAGCCUGAUCCAGCAAUGCCGCGUGCAGGAUGAAGGCCUUCGGGUUGUAAACUGCUUUGUACGGAACGAAACGGUGAGCUCUAAUACAGUUUGCUAAUGACGGUACCGUAAGAAUAAGCACCGGCUAACUACGUG